rnacentral:rRNA from 1 species
UAACGCGUGAGAAUCUAGCUUCAGGUUCGGGACAACAGAGGGAAACCGCUGCUAAUACCGGAUGCGCCGAAGGGUAAAAGAUUAAUCGCCAGAAGAUGAGCUCGCGGCCGAUUAGCUAGUUGGUGGGGUUAUAGCCUACCAAGGCGACGAUCGGUAGCUGGUCUGAGAGGACGAUCAGCCACACUGGGACUGAGACACGGCCCAGACUCCUACGGGAGGCAGCAGUGGGGAAUUUUCCGCAAUGGGCGAAAGCCUGACGGAGCAAGACCGCGUGAGGGAGGAAGGCUCUUGGGUUGUAAACCUCUUUUAUCAGGGAAUAAUCAAUGAAGGUACCUGAGGAAUCAGCAUCGGCUAACUCCGUGCCAGCAGCCGCGGUAAUACGGAGGAUGCAAGCGUUAUCCGGAAUCAUUGGGCGUAAAGCGUCCGCAGGUGGUAGUUCAAGUCGAUUGUCAAAGGCAGUAGCUUAACUACUGACAGGCAGUGGAAACUGAAAGACUAGAGUGCGGUAGGGGUAGAGGGAAUUCCCGGUGUAGCGGUGAAAUGCGUAGAGAUCGGGAAGAACACCAGUGGCGAAAGCGCUCUGCUGGACCGGCACUGACACUGAGGGACGAAAGCUAGGGGAGCGAAUGGGAUUAGAUACCCC